UUCCGGUUGAUCCUGCCGGACCUGACUGCUAUCGGAUUGAUACUAAGCCAUGCGAGUCAUUGUAGUAAUACAAGGCAGACGGCUCAGUAACGCGUAGUCAACCUAACCUAUGGACGGGAAUAACCUCGGGAAACUGAGUAUAAUGCCCGAUAGAACAUUAUGCCUGGAAUGGUUUAUGUUCCAAAUGAUUUAUCGCCGUAGGAUGGGACUGCGGCCUAUCAGUUUGUUGGUGAGGUAAUGGCCCACCAAGACUAUUACAGGUACGGGCUCUGAGAGGAGUAGCCCGGAGAUGGGUACUGAGACACGGACCCAGGCCCUAUGGGGCGCAGCAGGCGAGAAAACUUUGCAAUGUGCGAAAGCACGGCAAGGUUAAUCCGAGUGGUUUCUGCUAAAGGAACCUUUUGUCGAUCCUAGAAACACCGAUGAAUAAGGGGUGGGCAAGUUCUGGUGUCAGCCGCCGCGGUAAAACCAGCACCUCAAGUGGUCAGGAUGAUUAUUGGGCCUAAAGCAUCCGUAGCCGGCUCUGUAAGUUUUCGGUUAAAUCUGUACGCUCAACGUACAGGCUGCCGGGAAUACUGCAGAGCUAGGGAGUGGGAGAGGUAGACGGUACUCGGUAGGAAGGGGUAAAAUCCUUUGAUCUAUUGAUGACCACCUGUGGCGAAGGCGGUCUACCAGAACACGUCCGACGGUGAGGGAUGAAAGCUGGGGGAGCAAACCGGAUUAGAUACCCGGGUAGUCCCAGCUGUAAACUAUGCAAACUCAGUGAUGCAUUGGCUUGUGGCCAAUGCAGUGCUGCAGGGAAGCCGUUAAGUUUGCCGCCUGGGAAGUACGUACGCAAGU
rnacentral:rRNA from 1 species